rnacentral:misc_RNA from 1 species
AUUGCUAUAAAUUGUUGAAGAGUUCCCUCGACUAUCUUUCGUUUCCAUCAUCAGACUUUAAUGGCACUUGUAACUCAUAUAGGUGCAAAGUUCUCAUCAAUAGAAACGAAUUAAGUUCAAACAGCAGGGAAUUGCUAUAAGUCGUUGAAGAGUACCCUCGACUAUCUGUCGUCUCCAUCAUCAGACUGAAAUGGCACUUAUAACUCAUAUAUAUGCAAAGUUCUCAUCAAUAGAAACGAAUUAAGUUCAAAAAGCAGGUAAUUGCUAUAAAUUGUUGAAGAGUUCCCUCGACU